rnacentral:rRNA from 1 species
GAUGAACGCUAGCGGCAGGCCUAUACAUGCAAGCCGGACGGCAAGUUGAGUAGCAAUACUUGACCUAGAGUGGCGUAAGGGUGCGUAACACGUAUGCAAUCUGCUCACAGCCGGGAGAUAGCCCUCCGAAAGGAGGAUUAAUAUCCCAUAGGAAGAUGAGAUGGCAUCAUUUUAUUUUUAAACUACGGGGCUGUGGAUGAGCAUGCGGUUGAUUAGCUAGUUGGCGGGGUAAAGGCCCACCAAGGCGAUGAUCAAUAGGGGGACCUGAGAGGGUGAUCCCCCACACUGGCACUGAGAUACGGGCCAGACUCCUACGGGAGGCAGCAGUGGGGAAUAUUGGACAAUGGGCGAAAGCCUGAUCCAGCAAUGCCGCGUGAGUGAUGAAGGCCUUAGGGUUGUAAAGCUCUUUUACCCGGGAUGAUAAUGACAGUACCGGGAGAAUAAGCCCCGGCUAACUCCGUGCCAGC